rnacentral:rRNA from 1 species
GGAUCCAGACUUUGAUCCUGGCUCAGGAUGAACGCUAGCUACAGGCUUAACACAUGCAAGUCGAGGGGAAACGACAUCGAAAGCUUGCUUUUGAUGGCGUCGACCGGCGCACGGGUGAGUAACGCGUAUCCAACCUGCCCACCACUUGGGAAUAACCUUGCGAAAGUAAGACUAAUACCCAAUGAUAUCCCACGAAGGCAUCCGAAUGGGAUUAAAGAUUUAUCGGUGAUGGAUGGGGAUGCGUCUGAUUAGCUUGUUGGCGGGGUAACGGCCCACCUAGGCUACGAUCAGUAGGGGUUCUGAGAGGAAGGUCCCCCACAUUGGAACUGAGACACGGUCCAAACUCCUACGGGAGGCAGCAGUGAGGAAUAUUGGUCAAUGGGCGAGAGCCUGAACCAGCCAAGUAGCGUGCAGGACGACGGCCCUAUGGGUUGUAAACUGCUUUUAUAAGGGAAUAAAGUGAGUCUCGUGAGACUUUUUGCAUGUACCUUAUGAAUAAGGACCGGCUAAUUCCGUGCCAGCAGCCGCGGUAAUACGGAAGGUUCGGGCGUUAUCCGGAUUUAUUGGGUUUAAAGGGAGCGUAGGCCGGAGAUUAAGCGUGUUGUGAAAUGUAGUGGCUCAACCUCUGCACUGCAGCGCGAACUGGUCUUCUUGAGUACGCACAACGUGGGCGGAAUUCGUAGUGUAGCGGUGAAAUGCUUAGAUAUCACGAAGAACUCCGAUUGCGAAGGCAGCUCACGGGAGCGCAACUGACGCUGAAGCUCGAAAGUGCGGGUAUCGAACAGGAUUAGAUACCCUGGUAGUCCGCACGGUAAACGAUGGAUGCCCGCUGUUGGCCUGAAUAGGUCAGCGGCCAAGCGAAAGCAUUAAGCAUCCCACCUGGGGAGUACGCCGGCAACGGUGCAACUCAAAGGAAUUGACGG